CGGCAACAGCUCAAAUUUGAAAUCUGGCCCCUUGGGGUCCGAGUUGUAAUUUGUAGAGGAUGCUUUUGAUGAGGCGCCGCCUGAGUUCCCUGGAACGGGACGCCAUAGAGGGUGAGAGCCCCGUCUGGCUGGCCGCCGAGUCUCUGUAAAGCUCCUUCGACGAGUCGAGUAGUUUGGGAAUGCUGCUCAAAAUGGGAGGUAUAUGUCUUCUAAAGCUAAAUACCGGCCAGAGACCGAUAGCGCACAAGUAGAGUGAUCGAAAGAUGAAAAGCACUUUGAAAAGAGGGUUAAAUAGUACGUGAAAUUGUUGAAAGGGAAGCACUUGUGACCAGACUUGGGCUUGGCGAAUCAUCCGGCGUUCUCGCCGGUGCACUUUGCCUCGUCCAGGCCAGCAUCAGUUCGUCGCGGGGGACAAAGGCUUCGGGAACGUGGCUCCUCCGGGAGUGUUAUAGCCCGCUGCGUAAUACCCUGCGGUGGACUGAGGUUCGCGCAUCUGCAAGGAUGCUGGCGUAAUGGUCAUCAGUGACCCGUCUUGAAACACGGACCAAGGAGUCGUCUUCGUAUGCGAGUGUUCGGGUGUCAAACCCCUACGCGUAAUGAAAGUGAACGCAGGUGAGAGCUUCGGCGCAUCAUCGACCGAUCCUGAUGUUCUCGGAUGGAUUUGAGUAAGAGCAUACGGGGCCGGACCCGAAAGAAGGUGAACUAUGCCUGUAUAGGGUGAAGCCAGAGGAAACUCUGGUGGAGGCUCGCAGCGGUUCUGACGUGCAAAUCGAUCGUCAAAUAUGGGCAUGGGGGCGAA
rnacentral:rRNA from 1 species